rnacentral:rRNA from 1 species
AUGGACGCCGCCGCGAUGGAGUCCCUCAUCCUGGAGCUGCACGCGGUGGAGGCCUACAAGUUCGGCGCCUUCGUGCUCAAGUCCGGCAUCACCUCCCCGAUCUACCUCGACCUGCGCGUGCUCGUCUCCCACCCGCGCCUCCUCUCCCGCGUCGCCGCGCUCCUCGGCUCCCUCCCCUCCACGCGCCCCUACGGCCUCCUCUGCGGCGUCCCCUACACGGCCCUCCCCUUCGCCUCCGUGCUCUCCGUCGCCCGCAGCAUCCCCAUGAUCCUCCGCCGCUACCACGAGACCGGCGCCGGCGCCCCUCCCGCCAUGCGCACCCAGGGCUCCUUCCGCGCCGGGGACACCGUGCUCAUCGUCGAGGACCUCGUCACCAGCGGCGCCUCCGUGCUCGAGACCGUCGCGCCGCUCCGGGACGAGGGGCUCGUCGUCGCCGACGCCGUCGUCGUCGUCGACCGCGAGCAGGGCGGGAGGGAGAACCUCGCGGCGAACGGGGUCACGCUGCACUCGCUCAUGACGCUCACCGAGGUGCUCGCCGUGCUCGUCAGCCACGGCAAGGUCACCCGGGAGAAGGCCGCAGAGGUGAAGCGCUUCCUGGAUGCCAACAGGAAGGUCUUGGUGCCGGCGGAGCCCAAGGUGGUGCCGGCCAGGACGGCGUUCGCCGAGAGGGCGAGGCUGGCCAAGAACCCGGUGGGGAGGAAGCUGCUCGAGGUCAUGGAGGCAAAGCAGAGCAACCUCUGCGUCGCCGCCGAUGUUACAACAGCAAAGGAACUCCUUGAGCUAGCCAACAAGGUUGGUCCAGAGAUUUGCAUGCUGAAAACCCAUGUGGAUAUCUUGUCUGAUUUUACACCAGAUUUUGGUGCCAAGCUCCGUUCGAUUGCUGAAGAGCACAACUUUUUGAUCCUUGAAGACCGCAAAUUCGCUGACAUGGGGAACACGGUAACUAUGCAAUAUGAAGGAGGAAUAUUCCGCAUAUCAGACUGGGCCGAUAUUGUCACAGCGCAUGUAGUCCCUGGACCUGGAAUCAUAGAUGGCUUGAAGCUGAAGGGUUUGCCAAAGGGAAAAGGGUUACUCUUGGUUGCUGAGAUGAGCGCACCGAGCAACCUUGCUCAUGGAGAUUACACCACGGCAGCCGUGAAGUUUGCCGAGCAACAUUCUGAUUUCGUUAUCGGAUUCUUGUCGGUAAACCCUGCAUCCUGGCCAGCUCCAGCGCCGAGCCCAGCGUUCGUCCACGUUGUCGAUACCGGAGUUGAUGUUGUCGCUGGAGGAGAUUCUCCUGGUCAGCAGUAUGAAACCCCUCAUUUGGUCGUAAACGAGCGAGGCGGCGACGUGAUCGUGGUCGGGCGCGCGAUCAUAGAGGUGAGCGAUCCUGCCGGUGCCGCGAGGGAGUACCGCGCCCGAGGGUGGCAGGCCUACCAGACCAGCUUAUCGUCAAGCUAA